UAGUUUUUUACGUUCAUUUUGAAGUUAUGGUAACUUAACUUAUUUGUUUAAGAUACGUUUGGUAGGCGCGAACCCGGGAGGUCGCGCCCAGCUUGAGCUUCCGCAUUAUUAACACUGUUAGCUUCACUGUUAUUUGCGAUAGACGAAAAAUGUUUGAAUAAAGAGCCUAGGUAGGGGGAAGUACGCAAAAUACAUGGGUUUUUUCUAGUGUAACGUUUAUUAAUAUGUUGGAGGCAAUUCCUCAAAAUAUACUUUAUAAAAUAUACUAUUGUAAACAGAAUAUGGUUGGUAUAUCAACCCUUAUGAUUUGAUAAUAAUGUAUGUUUUUUUUCUCUUCCCCCUGUACUUUUGUUACAUCAUUUUUUUGCUGUCUAGACAUUUUUGUGGUAAGUCAUUUAUAUAACAAUCUCUGUUGCAACAUAAUACUUUUUUUCUGAACAGUUAACCUUGCACAUGAUAUUUAAAUAGUAAUGUUUAAUUUUUCUUUCUUUUGCUCUUUUGAAAACAUUUAACUGCUUUAGCUAAACCUCAGCCAAAUUCCUGGUUUUGCUGGGCAACAGCACCUAUUUCAUACAAUUUUGUUAUAGCGAACCCAAAGGCUCUUUUCAGAGCCAUCCACAUUGCGUCACUGAUUGGACAUCUAAUUCAUCUUUCAGCUUGCCUCUUAAAAACUGCCAGGAAACCCAAAAAAUCACCGAUUCAACUAAAAAAACAAAGCCUACAAUUUCUACCCAAAAAAAAACGACCCAAUUUUUUACCCCACCCAACCAAUCUGUUGCCCUAACCCCCAUACACCGACUUUCCCCAAAACAGAACGCCCUUUUAACUUUUUGCUUUGACAGAAAAAGUGAGAACAGAACUACCUACAGCUCCAGUGUGCCCUGCUGCCUUGAGUGUCUUCACAAAGCAACGUUGAUUAGAGGACUGCGUUGGGAAAUCAACACCAUCAACACACACAAUAAUUUACUAUAGUUUUAAAAUUACAUAAUUUCCUAUAGUCUUUUAGACUGCUUAUAAUAGAUAAUACACAUUACAGUACUUUUAAAAGUCAUUAAUAUAUCAGUAAAAAAAAAUUGUUUUUGAAGUUCAUCUUUGAAACGUAUUACAUUUAUAUCUGAGUCUUUUCACAUUUGUCUAUACUCUACUAAUUAAUUGCAUUAGUAAUAUUGCCUUUGGUUAUCAUUUCUGUACAAUAUUGGGGUUAACAGUUCAACAGUUCCAUUGCUAUAGUCUUGUGUGUUUGUAUAUCUAAUUUCUUGACUGUUUUAACGGUGAAAUUUUAGUACAGUACUUUAAUAUAUCAGUAAAAUAUUCUAAGUUUGACUGUUGUUGUAACUGCUAUUUGAAUAGACUACAUUUAAAGGUCAUUAAAAUAUUUUGGUUUGCCAAGUUCCUCUUUGAAUCUUACCACAUUGUAACAUUUACCUUUAUUAAUUGGUUGCAUUUCUGAUAUUGCUUUUGGUUAACAUUUUUGUACAAUAUUGGGGUUGACAGUAUAACAGUUCAAUUGCUAUAGUUUUGUGUGUUUGUAUA